UGGACUGGAAGGGGCGGAGGUAAGCAGAAACUGCCAGCGGGGUCCGUCCGCGGUCACACAUCCGUCCACGCCGCGACUGCAACACGCGUGCCUGGAGAGGGCGCCAGCGGCAGGGCCAGCUGCGUCCUGAGCUCUUUUCCAGCUGCCAUCGGCUUCGCGUCCCCGCUGCGCGCAGUUCGAAAGUCGGCCACCAUGGAGGCGCAGGCACAAGGUUUGCUGGAGACUGACCCAUUGCAAGGAAGAGAUGAAAGCACAGUAGCCAGUGCUGACUUCUCUAGCAUGCUCUCUGAGGAGGAGAAGGAGGAGUUAAAGGCAGAAUUAGUCCAGCUGGAAGACGAAAUCACGACACUACGACAAGUUCUGUCCGCGAAGGAAAGGCAUCUGGUGGAGAUCAAACAAAAACUCGGCAUGAACCUGAUGAAUGAGUUGAAACAGAACUUCAGCAAAAGCUGGCACGACAUGCAGACGACCACGGCCUACAAGAAGACACACGAAACCCUGAGUCACGCAGGGCAGAAGGCAACUGCAGCUUUCAGCAACGUAGGGACGGCCAUCAGCAAGAAAUUCGGAGACAUGAGAUCUCACUCCAUUGGGUACUCCAUUCGCCAUUCCAUAAGUAUGCCUGCUAUGAGGAAUUCUCCUACUUUCAAAUCAUUUGAGGAGAGGGUUGAGACAACUGUCACAAGCCUUAAGGUUGUCUUUAGAAGAAGGAGAUAUGAAGAAGCGAAAGAAGAAUAAAGAGCAACCUAUUUUCCUUUGCUUUUAGGAAACUGGAGUGACAAAUUCCUCAUUUCUUUGUUCUUCUCAAGAAUAAAUAACAGAUACAAAGACGAAAGUAGGCGGGAUGAACCACAGCGGAGGCAGUUUUGAGGAGGUCCUCAGCUCCACGGCCCAUGCCAGUGCCCAGAGCUCAGCGGGGGGGCCCCUGCGGGCCGAGGAGGAGGAGCUGCAGUGCUAGGUGCAGCCAGCUGGAGCAGCCUGCGGCCACAUCCAGAAGCCCCCGCACCGCCCAGCCCAGCUCUGCCUGUGCAGAUCCAGAAAUGAAGACCAAAACCCCACUGGGAAAAGCUGGGGUCUUCACGCUAUUAUUCAAAUGGCCUCUCCAGAAAGUUUAAUAAAAUGAUUUCCAUUUGUGUGUGUAUUGAUGAUGAACCCACUUGACCAGCACGCUUGAGUAUUCGUAGAUUGUCAACAUGUCUCAACAUGCACAGGCACACAAUUGGUCAAAAUUCUUGUCUGUGUAAUUCAAUGUGUUUUUCCCAAACAUGUAGCUCCUAGAUAUUUGCUUUGAGUUGUGCGUGGCCACCUUUGAGCAUGGCCCUGAUGGCUGAGGGAACAGUCCCUUUCUGUUCCUUUUCAUGACUGUCUCCGGCAGCAGCAGGACUUCCUGCAAAUUUCAUCCACUGCUUGUGACCUUCCUCACCUACAUCAACUAUGUGUUUAUUUAAACAAUUAAAAUAACUGAUUUUGAUGGUGA